AUUUAUAUCAAACAAAUAUUCAAAGUUAAACUUAAUUGACUUAUUAUAUACAUUCACUUGUAAAUUCAUCCCUUUUUAUACAUAGCAUAUAAAAUAUCUAAUUUGAAAGAAAGAAAAAUUAUUUAAAAAAACAAAAACUAAUCUAUGGGUCGCAGAAAAUUCCUAGAGCCAAUGAACUUGUCCUUCUCUAUGGCAAAUAAUUAAAAUCAGCGCGAUGCAUAUUUAUAACAUUCAUUCAUUCUUCGUUACAAUUAUAAUUAACGAUUAAUGCAUAUGGUUGAAUGCCACGCACUGCGCCUCUGGCCUGGGGAGCUGCACGCCGGCACUAGCGGGGCAUGCCGUGAGCCGUACUGGCGGAACCAUGCAAUUGUAAGACAAGCACAACGACGCCGUAUCAGGUAAUGCCAACCCAGGUUCCAACGGAAACUCUGAUAUAUAAUUAUGUUGCAAGUACAAUGUUUUGGUCCUGCCACGAUAGAAGCUGUCCACGUAUUCCAUGGGCACUCUCCCCACCCAAUAGUUGUUAUUCAAGAAUAAACUCUCCACCCCAGCCAGAACGGGAGACAAUUCUCCGCUCAGUAAGUUGUGGCUCAAGUCCACGAUGGAUCCUUCACCGUAAGAUGACGAUGGGUCCACAAGGCGAGAUGGGACCCCACCGGAUAAAUUGUUCCGUUGCAGCAACAGUGAAGCGAGUGAGGGGCGGAACACGGAGGAAGGGAUGGGCCCAUUGAAUUGGUUCAUGCUUAGGUCGAGGUACACUAAUUCUGAGAGCGACCCUAGGCCGUUGAGUGGGCCCCACAUAUUGUUUCUUGACACCGACAGAUAAUGGAGCGACGAGGGCAUCUCCAACGGCAAUAUCCCUCCUAACCUAUUGCUUUUCAAAUCCAAAUGCAGCAAUGGAGUUGACAUCCUUCUCGGUAACUCUCCGGACAAGGAAUUCCAGGCCAUGAUAACCACUUUCAACUCGCUCAAACCUGUGAAAAGACCAGGUGGUAUUGACCCCGUGAGUUGGUUGUAACUUAGAUCGAGCGUGUGCAAAUUGGGAAGCGAUGAUAGUGAGCUAGGUAUCGGACCGGUUAAGCGGUUGUUCGUUAAUGAGAUGACCCGCAGGCUCCUGAGUCCACCCAGUUGGGGAGGGAUGGGGCCAGUAACCAGGCCCGGGUAAAGGACUAGUUGGGUUAACUCAGUAAGGUUGGAAAGGGAAGGGGAGAGUGAGCCAGCAAGUCCCGGUGAGUCAGAGAGGCCGGUGCCGAGAGUGAGAGAAGUAACUCGGUUGAGAGAACAAGUGAUACCAGAGAAGGUGGAGCAGGGAUCUUGGGAUGCAAAGUCCCAGGUGGAAAAAAAAUUUGAGCCUGGAAUGCCUGUGAGGCUGUCCUUUAUGGCUGCGAGUGCUGUAAGAUCAAUGGUGUUCAUUUUCUGCUGUUUUUGUUGCUGAUGCGAUGGACAUGCAACGAGAAAAAGCAGUAGCGCAAACAGCAGGAGAGUGUGUGGGUUGGCCAUGAGAGAGAUUUUACAAGUAUGUGAUAGGCUGUCAACAAACUUAGGGUCGAAAGAAAAAGAAGAAGACUAAAAGGUGGGUGGUUUUGGAGAGAAUUUAGUUUAGUUACGCUGUUGGAUUCAAGAGUAAUAUUGACAGGGGCACAUUGAUGUAUAUAUGUGAGGUGGAGGUGGAAAGGGAGAACUCCUGCGAGUGUCUAAUAGAUUCACUCCAUUUCCAGGCCCCAGCAGCAAUUGUUUUGGGAGAGAGAGAGAGAGGGAGAACAAUUAGAGAGAGGAAAUA
rnacentral:misc_RNA from 1 species